rnacentral:rRNA from 1 species
GAUGAACGCUGGCGGCGUGCCUAAUACAUGCAAGUCGAGCGAACGGACGAGAAGCUUGCUUCUCUGAUGUUAGCGGCGGACGGGUGAGUAACACGUGGAUAACCUACCUAUAAGACUGGGAUAACUUCGGGAAACCGGAGCUAAUACCGGAUAAUAUUUUGAACCGCAUGGUUCAAAAGUGAAAGACGGUCUUGCUGUCACUUAUAGAUGGAUCCGCGCUGCAUUAGCUAGUUGGUAAGGUAACGGCUUACCAAGGCAACGAUGCAUAGCCGACCUGAGAGGGGGAUCGGCCACAGUGAAAAGGAGAAAAGGACCAAAAUCGUACGGGAGGCAACAGGAGGGAAUUUUCGGCAAGGGGCGAAGGCCAGAAGGGGAAACGCGGCGAGAGUGAGAAAGGUCUUGGGAUCGUAAAACUUUGUUAUUAGGGAAGAAAAAAGGGGUAAGUAACGGGGCAAAACUGAAAGGAACCGAAUAAGAAGACCAGGGUAAACUAGGG